rnacentral:rRNA from 1 species
AACGAACGCUGGCGGCAGGCCUAACACAUGCAAGUCGAACGAAGUCUUCGGACUUAGUGGCGCACGGGUGAGUAACACGUGGGAAUAUACCUUACGCUGGGGGAUAACAUCGGGAAACUGAUGCUAAUACCGCAUACGCCCUUCGGGGGAAAGAUUUAUCGGCGAAAGAUUAGCCCGCGUCCGAUUAGCUAGUUGGUGAGGUAAUGGCUCACCAAGGCUCCGAUCGGUAGCUGGUCUGAGAGGAUGACCAGCCACACUGGGACUGAGACACGGCCCAGACUCCUACGGGAGGCAGCAGUGGGGAAUAUUGGACAAUGGGCGCAAGCCUGAUCCAGCCAUGCCGCGUGAGUGAUGAAGGCCUUAGGGUUGUAAAGCUCUUUCGACGGGGACGAUGAUGACGGUACCCGUAGAAGAAGCCCCGGCUAACUUCGUGCCAGCCGCCGCCGUAA